rnacentral:lncRNA from 1 species
UGUCACAGCCCGGCCUAAUCUAGUGUAUAGUUAAGCCGGGGAAAGGUGUGACCGGGGAACAGAGAAAGAAAAUGAAAAAGGAAAGAGAUUUCACUAAUAAAAAUGAACCAAGUUUAACAAUAAAUCACUAUAAUAUUGAAUAAUCGUAGGCAACACUUUUAAAACUCACGAGUAGACAACUUACAAUAACACAACGACAAGUUGUCUAAAUAAUAUAAUUCUCGAAGCUAUUGGUUUAAAAUCUCUACAACACAUCAAUAAAGUAAGGUACAUUAAGUGUUGCAGCGGAAACAACUCAAGUGGAUUACAUGUAUGAGGACAUGAAAUCCCGAGCCUAAAUUAUAUAUAUAUACACCGAGGGCUUAGCUCUGCUUGCUACCAUCUGCAUCACAGCUUAACCUGCAUAUUUAGAAACAUACGCAGGGCUGAGUACCAAAAAGCACUCAGUGGUCAUGCCGAAAUAACUUUAAAGCUUGCUCUUAGAGCUAUAUAUUGAACUUGUCAUCUCAAGCAUCACACAGAGUUUUAUUUAAAUAAUGUCAUGCAAAACUGUAAAACUUCUCGAUAAUCAUCAUAACAUCAUAUACGUCUGCAGACGAUUACUAUGUAUGUACCAUAUCUACGCAUCAUAUAACUUUAAGUGUUGAGAAGUAGGCCUCCUUCUCAAACACGAUGACAAGCUAACUCAAAGGUUAACUGUCAACUCUGUGUACACAAAUCCUGACUCGCUCAGGACCCGAAUUCGUUCUUCUAUGUAGAUGGUAACAUACAAAUCUCAAAUAUUGGCAAGUCAAUAAUUUGAAAACAAAUGCAUACACUCAAACUUUGUAUUAAAGUAUGCAUAUUUAACUGUUGAGUUAGUAAGCCCACCUGAUAUACUUAACGAUGUAGAAACUCUUGCUCACUUAUCUAGCAUUGUUACUGUCACCU